CCUACGGGUGGCUGCAGUGGGGAAUAUUGCACAAUGGGCGAAACCCUGAUGCAGCAACGCCGCGUGAAGGAAGACGGUUUUCGGAUUGUAAACUUCUGUUCGUAGUGAAGAAUAAGGACGGUAGCUAAGGAGCAAGCCACGGCUAACUCCGUGGCAGCAGCCGCGGUAAUACGUAGGUGGCAAGCGUUGGCCGGAAUUACUGGGCGUAAAGGGAGCGCAAGCGGGCAGCCAAGUCAGCUGUGAAAACGACGGGCUUAACUUGUAUACUGCAGUUGAAACUGGUUUUCUUGAGUGAAGUAGAGGUUGGCGGAAUUCCGAGUGUAGCGGUGAAAUGCGUAGAUAUUCGGAGGAACACCGGUGGCGAAGGCGGCCCCCUGGGCUUUAACUGACGCUGAGGCUCGAAAGUGUGGGGAGCAAACAGGAUUAGAUACCCUUGUAGUC
rnacentral:rRNA from 1 species